rnacentral:rRNA from 1 species
GUAGGUGGCAAGCGUUGUCCGGAAUUAUUGGGCGUAAAGCGCGCGCAGGUGGUUCGUUUAAGUCUGAUGUGAAAGCCCCCCCGGGCGUCAACCCGGGGGAGGGUCAUUGGAAACUGGGGAACUUGAGUGCAGGAGAGGAAAGUGGAAUUCCACGUGUAGCGGUGAAAUGCGUAGAUAUGUGGAGGAACACCAGUGGCGAAGGCGACUUUCUGGCCUGUAACUGACACUGAGGCGCGAAAGCGUGGGGAGCAAACAGGAUUAGAUACCCUGGUAGUCCACGCCGUAAACGAUGAGUGCUAAGUGUUGGGGGGUUUCCGCCCCUCAGUGCUGCAGCUAACGCAUUAAGCACUCCGCCUGGGGAGUACGGUCGCAAAGACUGA